GUCUACGGCCAUACCACCCUGAACGCGCCCGAUCUCGUCUGAUCUCGGAAGCUAAGCAGGGUUGGGCCUGGUUAGUACUUGGAUGGAAGAACGUUCCAUGCCCA
rnacentral:rRNA from 1 species